rnacentral:misc_RNA from 2 species
GGAGGUAGUAGGUUGUAUAGUAGUAAGACCAGACCCUAGACCAAUUCAUGCC